UACGAGGGGGGCAAGCGUUGUUCGGAAUUAUUGGGCGUAAAGGGCGCGUAGGCGGUGCGGUAAGUCUGUUGUGAAAUCUCCGGGCUCAACUCGGAGUCUGCAUCAGAAACUGCCGUGCUUGAGUGUGGGAGAGGUGAGUGGAAUUCCCGGUGUAGCGGUGAAAUGCGCAGAUAUCAGGAAGAACACCCGUGGCGAAAGCGGCUCUCUGGGACGGUACUGACGCUGAGACGCGAAAGCGUGGGGAGCGAACAGG
rnacentral:rRNA from 1 species